AGUGAACGCUGGCGGCAGGCCUAACACAUGCAAGUCGAGCGGCAGCGCGGUGUAGCAAUACACUGGCGGCGAGCGGCGGACGGGUGAGGAAUACAUCGGAAUUUACCCAAUCGUGGGGGAUAACGUAGGGAAACUUACGCUAAUACCGCAUGAACUGGAGACAGCAAAGCGGCGGACCGAAAGGCGUCGCGCGGUUGGAUGAGCCGAUGUCGGAUUAGCAGUUGGCGGGGUAAAGGCCCACCAAGGCGACGAUCCGUAGCUGGUCUGAGAGGAUGAUCAGCCACACUGGAACUGAGACACGGUCCAGACUCCUACGGGAGGCAGCAGUGGGGAAUAUUGGACAAUGGGCGCAAGCCUGAUCCAGCCAUGCCGCGUGUGUGAAGAAGGCC
rnacentral:rRNA from 1 species